rnacentral:lncRNA from 1 species
UGAAACUGCAAUUAGAUCAGAUAUUAUUUAAGUCUAGGUUUGCCAUCACGGGUUUUAGCACAAAUGAUGUCAUUUUGGGCCUGUGGUUUUCUUUUUAACAAGGAUGUCUGACGGGGAAGGCCAGCCAGCUGGCCACACCCCGCUCCAUGCCACCCGGUGACCUCUCAGCUUUGUGUUGCCAGAGGGACAAAUGGAAACUGAAACACUCACGCCUACGUGGCUCACGUUCCAGGGAGAGACACAGUAACGUGGCAUCUGGAAAAUACCCAGCUCAAGCCAGAUUUCUGUCAGUUCCUUCUCUGUCGGUCUGUGCUUCCCGGCUAGUGAAGUAUACGGUUUCUGCCUUUCCUUCUUCCCAAAGAAAACUUUGAUGAAAAAAAAGGGGUUCUGCCUCCUGGGGAAUCUGAUGGACUCCUUGGGGGCUGUCUUCGUCCAAGGUCAGUGGUCAUUACUGUCACCUCCAAGAGAGAACCAAGAAUCCUGGCUCUUUGGCUGCUGCCACUGUCUUGGCCACUAGGUGUCACCAGUGGUCCUGCAGCCCACCUCCAGACGGGAGGCAGGCAGAUGUCACAGGUCCGCGGACAAACAUGGGGGUUGGAGGGGGAGGAGGAAGUCGGCUUCCUGAGGGGGUGGAUCUCGGAUUCAGAGCCAUACCAGAGGCACCGGGUUGAUGUACCGGGAAUGCGUGCGGGAAGCAGGAUGGGGCCCCGGGACAUGAGCCACAUGACUUUCCUGUGUUCGUCGGCUUUUUGUCCUAAGGGAAUACUUCCUGUCUACAUCCUGCUCAAAGAAGAGGCUUUUGGAAUACCUACUCUCUUGCCACAGUGGACCUCAGCAGGCAAUCCCGCUCAGAAAAGAAAAUUGUUGGACGAUAUUAGCCUCCAGAGGGUAGGGAGUAUGUCUAUCUUCUCUGCUGAGUCUUCAGUGCGUAGCAUAGUGCCUUUCAUAUGACCCUCCUCCAGUUGACCUGUAGAGGUUGCCACAGUCUGGAUUUGCUGAUCGCAUACUCAUGAACAGCUCGCCAAGUUCCUGCAGGUUGGCAGCUGGAUCUAGAGACUGGCUUGGACUCGAGUUGGAUUCCUUUGGGAAAACUACAGGAGGCACAUAAUGUCCGAUCACCUCUCUUUUUAUGAUGUAAGUAAUGCAAGCAGCCACUGAUGCUUAAUGCCUAUGCCCAGCAAUUCACUGGCAUUUGCAAAAUGCUGAUAUUCUGUCAUUCCUUUUUCAUUUAAUAGUUGUAGUACUUUUAUAAAGAGGAAAUUCCUCUUGUCUACCAUUGGCUAC